rnacentral:rRNA from 1 species
UACGAAGGGGGCUAGCGUUGCUCGGAAUCACUGGGCGUAAAGCGCACGUAGGCGGAUCGUUAAGUCGGGGGUGAAAUCCUGGAGCUCAACUCCAGAACUGCCUUCGAUACUGGCGAUCUUGGAGUCCGGGAGAGGUGAGUGGAACUGCGAGUGUAGAGGUGAAAUUCGUAGAUAUUCGCAAGAACACCAGUGGCGAAGGCGGCUCACUGGCCCGGUACUGACGCUGAGGUGCGAAAGCGUGGGGAGCAAACAGG